CAGGGAAAUAGCAUACACGCUACGAUAUACCCACCCUUCAUAGAGAAAUUCAGGCCACUCAUAAAAGAAGGCAGCGUGUACAACAUGACAUACUUUCGAGUUCGAGCAUCGAACAACUUGUACAAGCCAGUUCCAAAUGAUAUCAUGAUUACCUUCACGAAUUGGACAAAGUUAGAGCAGGUUAUUGAGAUUCCUCCUGCAUUUCCUACACUUACCUACUCCCUCACCCACAUAGAGCAGAUCCAUUCGCGCGUCGACCAUAAAGACUACUAUACAGAUGCCAUUGGGAUAGUUACUUCAGUCUCGAAUGUUUCGCCACAUCGCUCCAAAGGACAAUAAGCUUCUAGCUUGAAGAGGAACAUUUCCAUAUGCAGUGCAAGAGGUGCUUCGGUCAAUGUCGUGUUGUGGGGUGCCCAAGCCACCCUAUUCCCAGGAGAGCGCAUAUACGAAGAUGGGCAGAAUUCCCCACAAAUUGUGCUAUUUGUUGGCACACUUGUCAAAAAAUAUGCAGGUAUAUUGACGUAACACUUAGUCUUUUUCUGACUCCCAUACAUUUAUACCUUCUACCCUUUUUUAGAUGGGCUUUGUCUAACUGGAAGCUCACCAUGUAAGUGGUACAUCAAUCCAUCCAUUCCUGAGGCAGAACCCCUUAUGUCCAGGUAAUGCUAUCCUCUUGUUAGCAAAUAUAUGCACAUGUUGCCUGCUCUUGCCUUUUUCUAACAGAAUGCUUCUACAAAUACAAUGCAAACCAGCGCACGAGGUGAUCAUAAACCAGUGAAGUGGAAUGCAACUAUUACUUCGAGCCAGCUUAUAUCUCCUGUUGCUGAGGAGCAAAAGGUGUCGUACAUCAAGUAUCUCCAUCCCUUUGAAAACAAGGGAAAGGAAUUCUUGGUUACAGUCACUAUAAGGAAAAUUGAUAGCAAGUGGUGGUAUAACUCGUGCAGAAAAUGCGCCUGCAUAGCUGUCCCUCACGGAGACUCUUACAAAUGCACAAACCGUGAUUGUGCUAACAUUGAUAUGCCCGU